UCAGCAAGCCGCGGUAAUACGUAGGGUGCAAGCGUUAAUCGGAAUUACUGGGCGUAAAGCGUGCGCAGGCGGUUAUACAAGACAGGCGUGAAAUCCCCGGGCUUAACCUGGGAAUGGCGCCUGUGACUGUAUAGCUAGAGUGUGUCAGAGGGGGGUAGAAUUCCACGUGUAGCAGUGAAAUGCGUAGAUAUGUGGAGGAAUACCAAUGGCGAAGGCAGCCCCCUGGGAUAACACUGACGCUCAUGCACGAAAGCGUGGGGAGCAAACAGGAUUAGAUACCCUGGUAGUCCACGCCCUAAACGAUGCUGACUAGUUGUUCGGGAUUUACAUCCUGAGUAACGUAGCUAACGCGUGAAGUCAGCCGCCUGGGGAGUACGGUCGCAAGAUUAAAACUCAAAGGA
rnacentral:rRNA from 1 species